rnacentral:tRNA from 1 species
GUUUAGAUAGCUUAAUUUUUAAAAGCUUUUUAUUGAAGAUAAAAAAAUGAUAUUUUUAUAUAUCUUUAAACA